AUCUGAAAUCUAUAUGAAAAAAUCUAUUUGUAUCUAACAUUGCUGUUAAAAAAAUUGAAAAUACAGAAGUUUUUUUACAAACAAGUAAAACUUUGAUCCCUAGAUUGAAGGUCAAGUGUAAACUACAUCUGGAUUGAAGUCUUUUCCAUUAUCAAAGACUCAAAUAUAUAGCAGCAUCACUCCAGCUCGUUACCAUUUUCUGCCGAACUUCAAGCAGGAAGCGGGGAUAUGGCAAAGUGCAUAAAUA